rnacentral:lncRNA from 1 species
UGGAAAGGCAGUACGGCCCCAGCUUCAGCUAGCAAGGAAAUGGGGGUGUCUCUGUAGCCAUAUGAACAUAACAGAAGACCCUGUGUUCUAGAGGAGACUCAGUGCAGCAUCUGGGUGUCAACUCUGUGAGACCUGGGCUGCUGUGGUUGGACUUCUUUCCCGCAGGAGUGAGAGCCAACACGUCAGAGUCUGAAACUGUUGAAUCAGUGGCCAUUUGCUGUGGGACAAUAGAGCAAAAUUCAAGCAGCACGAUGGAGGGAAAACGUCCACUUCAGGCUUGCUGAGGACUGACCAGGAAAAUGACUAGAGGCGGAGAACCUGGCUCACACUGGUCAGCCUUACUCUGUGUGCUUCCUCCUGGCACCUGACACUCAUUCACUUUCAUCAGCUUCCUGUACAUCUACCUUGGGAGAUGUAGACACAGCUGGAAUUCAGCACCUGCUGACUGAACUUGCAUCUGAGUUAAACUACCACAACUCCUUUUCAUUUGUUUUCAAAGACAGUGUCUCCUGAAUCCUGGACUAGCCUUGAACUCCCUACAUACCUGAGGGUAACCUUGAACUCCUGAUCCUCUGGCUUCCACCUCCCAAAUGCUGGGAUUAUUCAUGUAUUUUAGAACCCAGAAAAGCUAUACACCCUAAUGAGGUAUUUAGUCAUAAUUUACUAUGUCCUGAAGCUACUUGUAGCUGUAGUUGAUUAAUCUGCUCUCCCUCCCUGGCAGCGGCUAAGAGAGUUCCUUGCUAGUCAUCCCAAUGCUUUGGAUUCUUUAAUGAAAGACACACACACACACACACACACACACACACACACACACACACGGGGGAGGGGGUGGGGUGGGAGGGAGGGGGAGACGGAGGGGGAGGAGAGGGAGGGGGAGGAGAGGGAGGGGGAGGGGAGGGAGAUCCUUAUAUUUAAUAUGCCUUUAUCAGUUCAACGACUGGGCUACUCCCAAACUUCCACGUUGCUAACACACUCUCCCCGCUGAUAUUCCUGAAUUAUUACUUACUAAAAUCUAUAUUCCAUCUUUGCUAUCCUUGACCCAAUUGAGGGGGACCCUGGAGCCAGUCUUCCCCAACUCUCACAUGAUCAUGUUUUCCCUUCUAUAGCUCUCAAGCCUAGUCCUUCUACUUCCCUGAUUACCUUCCUCCUUGGUCUCCUUGCUCAGGAAUCCUAAAGUCCCGCCUCUGUCUCUCUGUCCAACCACUGGCCACUGGCAACUUUAUUUGCCAAUCAAAACUAGCUGGGGGCAGGAACUCUUAAUGCCUCACAUAGGAAAUUCUCAUACCAUUUUGAAAACCCACAAUAGAAACAUUAAACCAAAACCAUAUCAGCUACUCUUUUUUACUAUUCUGUAAAAAAACCUUUCCCCCACAGUUUCACCUGUCUUCCCCAAAUGGCCACAUCCUUUUACUUUUCCAUUAUAUAAUGACUUUGUAAAAUUCUAAGAGUCUGACGGGAGCUACUUUAUCUCCAGGUCGUGAAAUCAGUUGCAUCAGGACCCAUGUGUCCACCCUUCUCUCUAGCUGACCUGCUGGAAUGAUGACAUGGAGCUGUAGAGUCUCUGGGUUACAUGGCUCUGUGUCCCCAUGCCCCAGUUUUGCCCAUUUGCUUGGGGUUCCAGUUUUGCCUGUUUGCUUGGGGUUAGGAGUCCUUGAAUGAGUUAGGCUGCUUUGGGCCACGAUUAGGAAAAUCCAAGUUGGGUUCAACAGUAAAAAAAAGUCUUUUACCUAUGGAUUCUAGAAUUGACCACUUUAUUAGCUUAACCAUGUCAAGAUUUCAGGCUCUUCUCUGUGCUGGUACCCUCUGCUUUACCACAGCCCAGUUCUCAACACACAGCACAGUGCCAUAAUUCUAGGUGUCACAUUCAAGUCGACAGUAUCCAAUAAAAAAGAGAGCUUGCUCUGCCUCAACAAGGAAGCCCUUCCCCUGAGAGCUAAAAGUUGGUGUGUGAGCCUUCCACACUGGCAUCGAUAGACCGGGCCUGCAGGCAUGCAUCUGCCAUUUUUUUCUCUAUCACAGCAUUGCACCAGCAUCUAGAUGCUCUAAUAUUAAGAAGUUGUCUAUGUAGCUGGGGCAUAGCUCAGUGGUGUGUGCUUGUGUGUUUACCAUGAGUGAAGCUUUGGACUUGAUCUCCCACACUGGAAAACAAAGACAAGCAAAUGAAACUCUGACAAAAUCCAAACUCCGCCUCUGACUGCACACUGUGCUCUCUUCAUAGCUGGAAGUGCUUAUUAGUGGAGGGCCCUGUGACCACUGACCCAGCCUAUCCAACAUCCCUAGACCAGCACUGGGUGAGACUUUCUUUCUCCUUACCAGUUCCUUUAUUCCUCCUAGGGCACGUUCUCUUUUGUCUUCCUGCAUCCAUUCCUUAUCUCCAGGUCUUGUUUCUUUUCCCUGUUGGCCAUUGGCCAUCAACCUUGUAAGCACAUCAGAAUCACAAUCAAUUAUGAACCUCUGUAAAAAUUACUUUAAAAAGUUUAAAAUUAUGUGUAUGUGUCUAUGUGUGGGUUGUGUAUUUGGUGCCUAAAGUGGCCAGAAGAAGGUGUCAGAUCCCCUGGAGCUAGAGUUACAAGUGGGUGUGAGCUGCUGCUGCCUGAGGUAAGUGCUAGGCACUAAACUCAGGCCCGCUGCAAGAGCGUGAGAGUUCUUAACUGAUGAAUUAUCUUCAGCUUCUAACAUUUUUUAAAACUGAAGUUUAAUAAUUUUUUGAGUGUGAAAAAUAGCAAGCUUUAUUGUAACAUUUUUAUACAUAUAUGUUGUUUGGUUUUCUUCACAUUUACCCUUGACUCUACCCUCUCCUUCCCUCUCUCCUACCUCUUGUUGGCCCUUCCUCUCCCCAGAUAGCCCUUGUGGUAGUUUAAAUAUGCAUGGCCCAGGGACUGGCAUUAUUAGGAGGUGUGGCCUUGUUGGAGUAGGUGUGGCCUUGUUGGAAGAAGUCUGUCACUGUGGGCAUGGACUUUAAGACCCUCCUCCUAGCUGUCUGGAAGCCAGUCUUCUCCUGUUUGCCAUUGGGACAAAAUGUAGAAUUCUCAGCUCCUCCUGCAUCAUGCCUGCCUGGGCACUGUCAUGCCUCUGCCUUGAUGAUAAUGGAUUGAACCUCUGAACCUGUAAGCCAGCCUCAAUUAAAUGUUUUCCUUAUAAGAGUUGCUUUAACAGUGUCAACUGACCAGACUCUCUGGAGCUCC